GUCUACGGCCAUACCACCCUGAACGCACCUGAUCUCGUCUGAUCUUGGAAGCUAAGCAGGGUCGGGUCUGGUUAGUACUUGGAUGGGAGACC
rnacentral:rRNA from 1 species